AGCGAACGCUGGCGGCAGGCCUAACACAUGCAAGUCGAACGAAGUCUUCGGACUUAGUGGCGGACGGGUGAGUAACACGUGGGUACGUACCUUUUGGUUCGGAACAACUCAGGGAAACUUGAGCUAAUACCGGAUGAGCCCUUAGGGGGAAAGAUUUAUCGCCGAAAGAGCGGCCCGCGUUAGAUUAGCUAGUUGGUGAGGUAAAGGCUCACCAAGGCUACGAUCUAUAGCUGGUCUGAGAGGAUGAUCAGCCACACUGGGACUGAGACACGGCCCAGACUCCUACGGGAGGCAGCAGUGGGGAAUCUUGCGCAAUGAGCGAAAGCCUGACGCAGCCAUGCCGCGUGAAUGAUGAAGGUCUUAGGAUUGUAAAACUCUUUUACCAGGGACGAUAAUGACGGUACCUGGAGAAAAAGCCCCGGCUAACUUCGUGCCAGCCGCCGCGGUAAAAC
rnacentral:rRNA from 1 species